AAAAUUAAAAACCAAUUUGAUCUGAAAAAUAAUGACUUUUAUAGAUACUUGCAGCUGAUGCAUUAUUUAGAACAAAACAUAAUAAAAGUAAACCUAGAAGGGCCAGAAUUAAUGAUUACUAAAAUGUUUCCUUUAUCAUACAAGUCAAAUUUGGGCAGGAAGGUUAUUUCUAGACUGUAUACAGGACUUUGAAUCUGAAGAGACAGGAUACUGUGUAUUUAAAAGAGAAAUGGAAAUCAAUAGAGGACUGGGAGGAAAUUUGUGAAGAACAGUGGAAAACAACAUGUUCCUUGUUCUGGCGAGAAUUUGGAUAUUAUUUUGUGACACCAGCACAAAAAACACAUCAAAACAUGAGUUGUUGGAGGAUGUGUGGGGCAGAUAAGGCUAAUCACUUCCACAUAUUUUAGGACUGGCCGUUGAUAAACAUCAAAGUUGCAUAGAUGGGGCAUUGAAAUUAAGACUUCCAUUUAAAUUUGAAGUGUUUCAUUUGGGGAAGUGGACUGUAGAAGUUAAAAGAGCAAACAUAAAGAUGCUUAGAAUUAUGUAAAUUGCAGGAAAAAAAGCGUUUACUAGAAAAUGAAUGAAGGCUGAUAUUCCGAGUGCUUAUGACUGGAUGGACUUUAUCCAGGAAAUAUAUGUAAUGGAGAAGCUAACUUACUCUCUCAAAUUGGAAUGGGAAAAGUUUAAUUUUAUUUUUUUUAGAGAAUGGAAGAAAUACAUCAGCCCAAUAAGGGCAGAUUUUAUUUGACUUUGAAACAGCUGCUCAUCCUCAGUUAUGUUGCCACAAUUUAGGGUGUUCUCUCGUGUUUUUUUUUUGUUGCUCCUUUUGUUCUGGUACCUUAUUAUACUAAUAUUUUUUAUCUUUGAAAUAAUGAUGUAAAAAUGUAUUGAUUCAUAACGUUUUCAUCUAUGAAAGGUAAUGGUGUAGGUGAUGAGGAGCAUGAUGAUAAUCGAUAACAUGUGGAGAAUGAUCAUUGGAGUACAGUCCUGAGUGACAUGAUGCUUGUAAUCUAGAAUUUCAAGGUGGAAAUUUCCACCCACCGCUAAUCCAUGAACUGUUGUAACACCUGCUGAAAAAUUCAAUAAAAAAUUAAUAUAACAAAAGAAAAGAAAAACUAGAAAAAAAAA